rnacentral:rRNA from 1 species
GAUGAACGCUGGCGGUAUGCUUAACACAUGCAAGUCGAACGGUCACUUCGGUGAUGGUGGCGGACGGGUGAGUAACGCGUGAGAAUCUGUCUUCAGGUCGGGGACAACAGUUAGAAAUGACUGCUAAUACCGGAUGUGCCUUUGGGUGAAAGAUUUAUUGCCUGAAAAAGAGCUCGCGUCAGAUUAGCUAGUAGGUGGUGUAAGAGACUACCUAGGCUCCGAUCUGUAGCUGGUCUGAGAGGACGAUCAGCCACACUGGAACUGAGACACGGUCCAGACUCCUACGGGAGGCAGCAGUGGGGAAUUUUCCGCAAUGGGCGAAAGCCUGACGGAGCAAUACCGCGUGAGGGACGAAGGCUUUUGGGUCGUAAACCUCUUUUCUCAAGGAAGAUGAUGACGGUACUUGAGGAAUAAGCAUCGGCUAACUCUGUG